CGGGUGUACGGUUCUAGCGAGCCCACCUCACCCCCCACCCGUGUUUACUGUACCUUAGUUGCUUCGGCGGGCCCGCCAUUCAUGGCCGCCGGGGGCUCUCAGCCCCGGGCCCGCGCCCGCCGGAGACACCACGAACUCUGUCUGAUCUCGUCAAGUCUGAGUUCAUUGUAUCGCAAUCAGUUAAAACUUUCAACAAUGGAUCUCUUGGUUCCGGCAUCGAUGAAGAACGCAGCGAAAUGCGAUAACUCGUGUGAAUUGCAGAAUUCCGUGAAUCAUCGAGUCUUUGAACGCACAUUGCGCCCCCUGGUAUUCCGGGGGGCAUGCCUGUCCGAGCGUCAUUGCUGCCCAUCAAGCACGGCUUGUGUGUUGGGUCGUCGUCCCCUCUCCGGGGGGGACGGGCCCCAAAGGCAGCGGCGGCACCGCGUCCGAUCCUCGAGCGUAUGGGGCUUUGUCACCCGCUCUGUAGGCCCGGCCGGCGCUUGCCGAACGCAAAUCAAUCUUUUUCCAGGUUCACCUCGGAUCAGGUCGGGAUACCCGCUGAACUUAAGCAUAUCAAUAAGGCGGAGG
rnacentral:rRNA from 1 species